rnacentral:misc_RNA from 1 species
GGAAGGAUCAUUACAACGUAUCCACGUACCAACUCUCGAACCGUUCCCAACGGAGCAAACACUGUGGAUGAAGUUAAUGGCUGUCUGUCUUUCGCUGAUGGAAGUCCGCUGACUUUUGUCAGAGGGACUGGAAGGCAUUCGGUCGCCGGAGCUCGCGUCUCUGGGACUUCGUUUACUUCGUUGCGGUUUUACCGUCAGCGUUUGUAAUACCAUUAUUGACCCUUUGAACUUAUGAACUGAACUUGAUGGCUUUGCGGCUGUCCUUGCUGGCUUCGGUCACGGACUUAACUGCCUAGCUUAUCACAUUUACGAAACAAAGAACAACUCUUAGCAACGGAUAUCUUGGUUCUCGUAUCGAUGAAGAACGCAGCAAAAUGCGAUACGUAAUGCGAAUUGCAGAAUUCAGUGAAUCAUCAAAUCUUUGAACGCAAAUUGCGCUCUCGGGAUAGGCCUGGGAGCACGCCUCUUUGAGUAUCGUUUCAACCACAACUCGAAAGCGUUGCUUUACUGCAUCGCUGACGGAGAAUGAGCGCUCUUGCAGUUUGCGAGACGCUUUAAAUUGAGCGAGUGACUUGAUAUCUGUCGAAAGAUAGACUUCUGUCUGCGGUGACGAGGAUAACUUCACAUUCAGUUGUGAACCCUUCCAUCGUGACUGUAAGGCAGAGCUGUCUGCGAUAGCUGUCGCCUUGUCACGGCCCAUCUGUGGUCAUCUGUUGCGGUGAACACAGAACUCCAUUUUGAACUAGAUCUCAAAUGAAGCGAGAAAACCCGCUGAACUUAAGCAUAUCAUUAAGCGGAGGAAAAGAAACUAACAAGGAUGCCCUCAGUAACGGCGAGUGAAGCGGGCAGAGCUCAAACUGAAAAUCGAGGCUCCAUGCGGGGUUUCGAAUUGUAGUCUAUAGACGCGCUAUCAGCGAUGAACCGGGUAUAAAUCUUUUGAAACAAGGUGUCAUAGAGGGUGAGAACCCCGUCUUUGACGCGGAGCUCAUUGCGUACGAUGCGUGUUCAAAGAGUCGAGUUGCUUGGGAUUGCAGCUCUAAGUGGGUGGUAAAUUUCAUCUAAAGCUAAAUAUUGACGAGAGACCGAUAGCGAACAAGUACCGUGAGGGAAAGAUGAAAAGAACUUUGAAAAGAGAGUUAAAAAGUACUUGAAAUUGUUAAGAGGGAAGCACUGGAAACCAGUAUUGCCGGUUGCUGUACUCGCCUAUUCGCGUGUUGGAGGCUGCGUGCCGGGAGUUCAAACCUCGGUUGCGUUGUCGAAGAUUCGUGAGUGGGUUCAGCAGUGAUUGGUGGGUCAAAAUCAAUUCGACUCGCGGGAGAAAGCUAUCUGGAAGAUAGGGUCGAGGGGCAACCUGAGACCUGUUAUAGACAGGUAGUGCUACCGUGGGUUGGAUUGAGGAACAAAUGCGCGCCACUAGGUUUCAGUUCCCUGACCCUGGGGUGCGAUCGGCGUUGGAUAGCAAAGCUAUGCACGUUGAGUAGUGCUCUACUGGAAGGGAUGAACUAGAUGCAGCAUUCGAGAUUUUGACGAAAUGGUUUUCAUUGACCCGUCUUGAAACACGGACCAAGGAGUCUAACAUAUAUGCGAGUGUUUGGGUGGCAAACCCUUGCGCGCAAUGAAAGUGAAGGCAGCUUGCUGCUGAGGUAGGAACCCUGGUCCCCGGACCAGGCGGCACUAUCGACCGAUCGUCACUUGUGAUAGAUUUGAGUAUGAGCAUAUCUGUUGGGACCCGAAAGAUGGUGAUCUAUGCCUGAACAGGGCGAAGCCAGGGGAAACUCUGGUGGAGGCUCGUAGCGAUACUGACGUGCAAAUCGUUCGUCUGAUUUGGGUAUAGGGGCGAAAGACUAAUCGAACCAUCUAGUAGCUGGUUCCCUC